UACGAAGGGGGCUAGCGUUGCUCGGAAUCACUGGGCGUAAAGGGCGCGUAGGCGGAUCUUUAAGUCGGGGGUGAAAGCCCAGGGCUCAACCCUGGAAUUGCCUUCGAUACUGUUUGGCUUGAGACCGGAAGAGGUUAGUGGAACUGCGAGUGUAGAGGUGAAAUUCGUAGAUAUUCGCAAGAACACCAGUGGCGAAGGCGGCUGACUGGUCCGGUUCUGACGCUGAGGCGCGAAAGCGUGGGGAGCAAACAGG
rnacentral:rRNA from 1 species